AAACGGGGCUCAAGCCGAGCACCGAAGCUAUGGGUGUGUAGCAAUACACGCGGUAGGGGAGCGUUCUGUAGGCCUGCGAAGGUGUGCUGUGAGGCAUGCUGGAGGUAUCAGAAGUGCGAAUGCUGACAUGAGUAACGUUAAAGCGGGUGAAAAACCCGCUCGCCGAAAACCCAAGGUUUCCUGAGCUACGUUAAUCGGCUCAGGGUGAGUCGGAUCCUAAGGUGAGGCCGAAAGGCGUAAUCGAUGGACAUCAGGUUAAUAUUCCUGAACCGAUAAUUACUGCGAUGGGGUGACGGAGAAGGCUAAAGCAGCGGCAGCAGUGCCGUCCAAGCUCGUAGGCGGAUCUUCCUGGCAAAUCCGGAAGGUCAUUCAACGCCGAGAAGUGAGUGCGAGUCGAACCGCAAGGUAAGACGAAGUGUUUGAUGCCCCGCUUCCAGGAAAAGCCUCUAAGCUUCAGGUAAUUAUUGUCCGUACCGUAAACCGACACUGGUGGGUGAGCAGAAAAUCUGCUUAGGCGCUUGAGAGAACUCUGGUUAAGGAACUCUGCAAAUUGAUACCGUAACUUCGGAAGAAGGUAUGCCUUUUUUGGUCACAGGACUUGCUCCUGGAAGCUGAGAGAGGCCACAGGUAAUCGGGGGCUGCGACUGUUUACCAAAAACACAGGACUCUGCGAACACGUAAGUGGAUGUAUAGGGUCUGACGCCUGCCCGGUGCUGGAAGGUUAAUUGAUGGGGUCAGCCGCAAGGCGAAGCUCUUGAUCGAAGCCCCAGUAAACGGCGGCCGUAACAAUAACGGUCCUAAGGUAGCGAAAUUCCUUGUCGGGUAAGUUCCGACCUGCACGAAUGGCGUAACGCUGGCCCCACUGUCUCGACCAGAGACUCAGUGAAGUUGAAAUCGCUGUGAAGAUGCGGCGUAGCUGCGGAAAGACGGAAAGACCCCGUGAACCUUUACUACAGCUUUACACUGAACUUUGAAUUUAUUUGUGUAGGAUAGGUGGGAGCCUAUGAAGCAGGGGCGCUAGCUCUUGUGGAGGCAACCUUGAAAUACCACCCUGAUAACUUCGGAGUUCUAACCUAGAUCCGUAAUCCGGAUUGGGAACACUGUAUGGUGGGUAGUUUGACUGGGGCGGUCUCCUCCCAAAGAGUAACGGAGGAGUGCAAAGGUACCCUCAGCGCGGUCGGUCAUCGCGCUUUUGAGUGCAAUGGCAUAAGGGUGCUUGACUGCGAGACGUACAUGUCGAGCAGGAACGAAAGUUGGUCAUAGUGAUCCGGUGGUUCUGUAUGGAAGGGCCAUCGCUCAACGGAUAAAAGGUACUCCGGGGUU
rnacentral:rRNA from 1 species